UGUGGGACUUUUCCCAAAAAUAGCUGUGUAACAUUCCAGAACAUCAGCCUUGUUUGAUGCAUAACCAGAUCACAUCCCAGCACUAGCUCUCAGAUGAGAAAAGACAAAAAAUUGAGAAUGAGGAAAACCUUCUGACACUGACUGACUGCAGCUGAUAAUCGAUGCUGUCACCUCCCUCUCUAGCCUAGAGGAACUGGGGUUUGCUGCAGGAUGCACUGCUGUGUUCUACUUCAGACCUGCUCCAUUUCCAGGAGGAAUAAAGCUAUAACCUUCCAAUUGUACAGAAAAAGGUUAUAAGAAUCAUCAAGCCCACAAAGAAACUCUCAGAUGAAGGGACUGAAAUAAUAGUGUUUGCCUCAGGAAACAAAUGAAAAAUCAUAUUGAAUACUUGGCAAAAUUAAAGAAGAAUUAGUCAUCUCUAAGAAUAUCACAGUAUCUAGAGUUCCUACAUUAAACAGUACCAAGGACUUCAAAACAUUUCCCAGAUUAGACUGUAGCUAUUGCAGGUGAAUUUAAAGAAGUCUGAGGUGUCCUAACACCUGCCACAAUCUGAACCAGCUUAUAGGAUUCCACUUGGAUCUGACAGCAAUUUUGCUGUUGCUAUGGAAACAUUCCCAUUCCUUUAAAACCUUAGGAGGUCUGUAUCUCCUUAAGCCACUCAUGUGUAUUUUGUUGGCCUUUACUUCUGCUCCACCACCUCAAAGAAAAGAAUCUGAGCUAUUCCUAACACUUAACCUCCCACAACCAGCAUCACAUAAAUUAAAACCUAUGAUGAAAGGUUAUCCUUGAAAUAAUUCUCCUAGCUUGGCCUGGCUUUCCAGUAGCCAUCCA